GUGUUUGUGUGUGUGUAUAAAAACCUAAACAAACCAGUUAUAACUACAGUCCCUUCCACUAGCUGGAAAGCAAGGGUGCCCCCUGCUGGUAAUUUUGUAGCACUUUACUCUCUAUAGUACAGUAGUUCCAUUAAUUACUGGCAUAUAAUGCGAAGAUUUAUAUAUUUAGUAUUCUUAAUACAUUAUAUCAUCCAAUUACAAUAGAAUGGCAUUACAUUUGUAAAUAGCCACAUUAUAUAACUGGAGAAUAAUUAGAUUUAUUUUGUAAUUUUUAUAACUUGAAUUAGUAGGGAAAAAAAGUAAAAUACUAUAUUUCUGUCCAAUUUUAUAGCCAUACAAAAACACUAGAACACAAAAUAAAAUAUUUUGUGUAACAACAAAAUAAAAAAUAUAUAAAACAUAAUAACCGCUUCCCUCAGCAGCCUUCCCACAGGGAUGCCCAAUCAAACAUGAAUGUACAAAAAUAGGGGAAUACAGCUGUUUUAAACUAAAAGCAAUUAACAAUACAUAGUGUAAUAAAGUAUUAGGCAUGUAUAAAAACACGCUACUGGUAGCACUCACAGGAUGGAAAUAGUCAAAGCGCCUUAAGGGUGCCACCCCUAGGCCAUAGGGGGGUUGUGGAAAUCCACCUGGCUUCUUAGGAACACAGGAACCAGAAGGAAGCAGGAAUCAAAUAGUAUAAACGGUUUAUUAAUAAGAAAACAGCGGUCCUACGCAUUUCGUUCUAGACAUAGAACUUCCUCAGGGACCUCUUCAAUUUAAAACAAUUUCAUGCAAUACUAUUGAAAUUGAUUCUUGCUUCCUUCUUGUUCCUGUAUCUCUAAGAAGCAAGGUGGAUUUCCACAACUCCUCCCCCCCCCCCCCAUGGACUUGGGGUGGCACCCUUAAGGCGCUUUGACAAAUUAUCAUCCUGUGAGUGCUACCAGUAGCGUGUUUUUAUACAUGCCUAAUACUUUAUUACACAAUGAUUUGUUAAUUGCUUUUUAGGUUAAAAUGGUUGUAUCCCCCAAUUUUAUAUCCAUGCCUUUAAAGUAAAAAUUUUGUAUAAAAUAAAAACUAGCUUCAAAUGCUUAUAGCAUUGACAAAAUAGGAAUAAUCCAAGAAUUCUUACCACGAGAAUCCCAAGUUGUAGGUUCUCCACCCACACAAAGCACAAAUAUUCCUAUAUUCCAGGACAAAAAUCCAGAAUCUGCUGGAAUAACGUUAUGACCCCAAUUAUCACAACAAAGGCAUAUAAAAUAAACUGAAAUGAAUAUAAAUACAAACAGACGUUGCAGGGGAGUUGAGGGGACACAGCAGGAUAAUGCCAACGUUAGCUUAAUAAAUCCAUUUUGGUGUAUGGAUCAUGCCCUGCAGUCUCACUGCCCAAUUCUCUGCUUUUUUAGAGUUAAAUCACUUUUGUUCCUGUUUAUGCAGCCCUUGUCACAUCUCCCCUGGCUGUGACAGAGUCAGCCUGCAUGAAAAAUGGUUUCAUUUUCAAUCAGCUGUCACUAAGUUCAAGUUACAGAGAUAAACAUUUAAUCUUACACAGGAGGCACCUGCAGGAUCUAGAAGGUUAUUAACAGAGUAGGAGAUAAGAAAUUCUAAAUUAAACAAUGUUCAAUAAAGGAAGUUUAAACAUUGGAUGUAUCUGUACAGGAAGUAUUUAGGAAGGCUGUGCAAGUCACAUGCAGACAGGUGUGACUAGGGCUGUGUAAACAAAGUGAUUUAACUUAUAAAUGGCAUAGAAUUGAGCAGUAAGAUAACAGACCAAAAGUCUGUUUGGAAUCUUGGAAGCCCUCUAGUGGCUAUCUGGGUGACAGUUACAGAGGGCAGGCUUAGAAGUUGUCUGGAACUGCAAUGUUUUACAUUGCAGCAGUGCAAAAGUGCACUUAGCUGAAGUGGUCUGGAACAGUGUGCCUUUAAAAAUCUCCUAUAAUUUCCACAAAUUCUAUUUUUAUAAGCUAUGCAGCCUAGAUGUGGUAGCCUUUAUAUCUCAGUACUAUAUAUGAGAAAUUUGACCUAAAAGACAUUUUUAGGAUUGAUCUAAUGUUGGUUCCCAAGCCAGUUGUCGAGGCAUAUCAUCAAUCCCGGAUUUAGGAAUUUCGCAGUUUUGUUCCACUGGGGAUACGAUACAACCUUGACUGCUGGUGUGCUUUGCAGACUACUGGUCUCAUUCUAGUGUGGAACCAUCCACAUAUACUUAUAAGUAACUCUUAAAUGUUGGCAAUCAGGAAUGCUAUAGUGUUUUGAAAAUUCUCCACUGCUACAAACGUCACUUUAAGCUGUGAAGGGGUUUACAAUUUUUUUUUUUAAAUGAAGUAUUAAUGUUUUUUCUUCACUUGUAAAUCUGUUUGUUGUGCCUAUGGCAGUUGCAAUUCUUGUAACAUUAUUUUGAUGGAGAGCUUUCUCCUUUUGUAAAUUAUGGAUGUCCCAUCUUUUUCAGAUUGUCUUUUAAAUGGGACUCCCUCUGCACUAUGGUAAAUAUAACAUAUUGG